AUUGAACGCUGGCGGCAGGCCUAACACAUGCAAGUCGAGCGGAUGAAGGGAGCUUGCUCCUGGAUUCAGCGGCGGACGGGUGAGUAAUGCCUAGGAAUCUGCCUGGUAUUGGGGGAUAACGUCCGGAAACGGGCGCUAAUACCGCAUACGUCCUGAUGGAGAAAGUGGGGGUUCUUCGGACCUCACGCUAUCAGAUGAGCCUAGUUCGGAUUAGCUAGUUGGUAGGGUAAAGGCCUACCAAGGCGACGAUCCGUAACUGGUCUGAGAGGAUGAUCAGUCACACUGGAACUGAGACACGGUCCAGACUCCUACGGGAGGCAGCAGUGGGGAAUAUUGGACAAUGGGCGAAAACCUGAUCCAGCAAUGCCGCGUGUGUGAAGAAGGUCUUCGGAUUGUAAAGCACUUUAAGUUGGGAGGAAGGGCAGUAAGUUAAUACCUUGCUGUUUUGACGUUACCAACAGAAUAAGCACCGGCUAACUUCGUG
rnacentral:rRNA from 1 species